rnacentral:rRNA from 1 species
UACGGGGGGGGCAAGCGUUGUUCGGAAUUACUGGGCGUAAAGGGCUCGUAGGCGGCUCGUUAAGUCAGACGUGAAAGCCCUCGGCUUAACCGGGGAACGGCGUCUGAGACUGGCAAGCUUGAAUCCGGGAGAGGGAUGCGGAAUUCCAGGUGUAGCGGUGAAAUGCGUAGAUAUCUGGAGGAACACCGGUGGCGAAGGCGGCAUCCUGGACCGGUAUUGACGCUGAGGAGCGAAAGCCAGGGGAGCAAACAGG